rnacentral:rRNA from 1 species
GCUAAAGCCGUGGCAGAGGAGGGGUGAAGACGGGGAGUGCGGGCGGUAAACGGAAUAAUGUGGAGUAAGGAGGGCGCAAGGGGUGUGGUAAGCGGGAUGUGAAAGCCCUGGGCUUAACCUAGGAAUAGCAUUUCGAACUGGCGAACUAGAGUAUUGUAGAGGGGGGUAGAAUUCCAGGUGUAGCGGUGAAAUGCGUAGAGAUCUGGAGGAAUACCGGUGGCGAAGGCGGCCCCCUGGACAAAGACUGACGCUCAUGCACGAAAGCGUGGGGAGCAAACAGGAUUAGAUACCCCUGUAGUC